CCUACGGGUGGCAACAGUGGGGGAUAUUGGACAAUGGGGGAAACCCUGAUCCAGCGACGCCGCGUGAGUGAAGAAGUAUUUCGGUAUGUAAAGCUCUAUCAGCAGGGAAGAAAGAAAUGACGGGACCUGAGUAAGAAGCCCCGGCGAACUACGUGCCAGCAGCCGCGGUAAUACGUAGGGGGCAAGCGUUAUGCGGAAUUACUGGGUGUAAAGGGAGCGUAGACGGUAAUGCAAGUCUGGAGUGAAAGGCGGGGGCCCAACCCCCGGACUGCUCUGGAAACUGUGUAGCUGGAGUGCAGGGGAGGCAGGCGGAAUUCGUAGUGUAGCGGUGAAAUGCGUAGAGAUGAGGAGGAACACCAGUGGCGAAGGCGGCCUGCUGGACUGUAACUGACGUUGAGGCUCGAAAGCGUGGGGAGCAAACAGGAUUAGAUACCCCAGUAGUC
rnacentral:rRNA from 1 species